rnacentral:rRNA from 1 species
CAGACGAUGCGUCAUGCAUAUCAAUAAGCGGAGGAAAAGAAACUAACAAGGAUUCCCCUAGUAACGGCGAGUGAAGCGGGAAGAGCUCGAAUUUGAAAUCUUAAAGGGUUUCCCUUUACGAAUUGUAGUUUAAAGAAGUGUUUUCUGUUGAGGUUUUGGUAAAAGUUCUUUGGAAUAGGACAUCAUAGAGGGUGAGAAUCCCGUAUUUGACCUUUACUUUCAACUUUGUGAUACACUUUCAAAGAGUCGGAUUGUUUGGGAAUGCAGUCCAAAAUGGGUGGUAAAUUUCAUCUAAAGCUAAAUAUUGGCGAGAGACCGAUAGCGAACAAGUACCGUGAGGGAAAGAUGAAAAGAACUUUGAAAAGAGAGUUAAACAGUACGUGAAAUUGUCAAAAGGGAAGCGUUUGACACCAGUGUUGUUUUUCUGAAAAUCAAUUAAAGAACUGUUUAUGCUAAGCUGUUUAGACUUUAUCAGCUAUCUGUUUAGUUUUAAGCUUUUCUUUAAUGCACUUUUCAGUUAACAAGUCAACAUCAAUUUCUUUUGCUGUAAAAAAGCUUGAGGAAGGUGGCUUGAGAUUCGUCUUAAGUGUUUAUAGCCUCUUGCCUAUGCAGUCGGAGAGAUUGAGGUCUGCAGCGUAGAUCCUUCGGGGCUAAAUGCAUUUGUGCUAAGUUAUAGCAUUUCAUAGACAACUUGUUGACUAUGAUUUGUCUUGUAGCUUACUCGCUUAUGUUAUUUUACCUACGCUUAGGAUGUUGACACACGCGCGUGCUCG